rnacentral:rRNA from 1 species
AUUGAACGCUGGCGGCAGGCCUAACACAUGCAAGUCGAGCGGAGCGGCGGACGGGUGAGUAAUUCCUAGGAAUCUGCCUUGUCGUCCGGGAUAACGUCCGGAAACGGGCGCUAAUACCGCAUACUAUCAGAUGAGCCUAGGUGGGAUUAGCUAGUUGGUGGGGUAAAGGCCUACCAAGGCGACGAUCCGUAACUGGUCUGAGAGGAUGAUCAGUCACACUGGAACUGAGACACGGUCCAGACGCCUACGGUAGGCAGCAGUGGGGAAUAUUGGGCAAUGGGCGAAAGCCUGAUACAGCCAUGCCGCGUGUGUGAAGAAGGUCUUCGGAUUGUAAAGCACUUUAAGUUGGGAGGCGUUACCAACAGAAUAAGCACCGGCUAACUUCGUGCCAGCAGCCGCGGUAAUUC